CUGGAAACUGGGUAAUUUAUAAAGAAAAAUUUAUUUCUCAUGGUUCUGGAGGCUAGGAAGUCCAAGAGCAUGGUGCUGGCAUCUGUUGAGGACAUUUGUGCUGCAUCAGAACAUGGCAGAAGGCAUCACAUAGCAAGUGAGUACAUGAGACCAAGAGAGAGUUGGACAGAACUCAUCCUUUUAUCAUUCCCACCAUAAUUGACCUAUUCCUGUGAUAAUGGCAUUAAUCCAUUCAUGAGGACAGAGCCCUCAUAACCUAAUCACCUCUUAAGGCCCCAUCUCUCAAUACCCUUACAAUGGCAACUAAGCUUCAAUGUGAACUUUGGAGGAGACAUUCAAACCAUAGUAGCGCUGUUAUAAAAGAGGUCCCAGGCCAGGUGUGGUGGCUUAUACCUGUAAUCAAAACACUUCCGGAGGCCAAUGUGGGAGGAUUGCUUGAGCUCAAGAGCUUGAGACCAGCCUGGGCAACAUAGUGUGACUGUGUCUCUACUAAAAAAAAAAAUAAAAGUUAGCUGGAUGUGGUGGCACAUGCUUGUAGUCCCAGCUACAUGGGAUUCCAUGGGAGGAUUGCUUGAGCCUAGGAGCUGGAGGCUGCAGUGAGCCGUGAUUGUACCGCUACACUCCAGCCUGGGUGACAGAGCAAGACCCUGUCUCAAAACAAUAAUCAUAAAAAAAGAGGCUCUAGCCCAGGUGCAGUGGCUCAUGCCUGUAAUCCCAGCACUUUGGGAGGCUGAGACAGGUGGAUUACUUGAGGCCAGGAGUUUGAGACCAACCAGGCCAAAAGGGUGAAACCCCGUGUCCACUAAAAAUACAAAAAAUUAGCCAGUGUGGUGGCACAUGCCUGUAAUCCCAGCUCCCUGGGAGGCUGAGGCACAAGAGUUGCUUGAAUCCGGGAGGUGGAGGUUGCAGUGAGCUGAGAUCAUACCACUGCACUCUAGCCUGGGCAACAGAGCGACACUUUGUCGCAAAAAAAAAAAAAAAUAAAAAUAAAAAAUAAAAGGCCCUUGAGAGCUUCUUCACCCUUGCCACCAUGUGAAGACACUUUGAGAAGGAGGGGCCAUCUCUGAACCAGGAAGCCAGCCCCCACCAAACAUGGAAUCUACCAGAGCUUUGGUCUUGGACUUCCCAGCCUCUAGCACCUUGAGAAGUAAGUUUCUGUUAUUUGCAAGCCAUCCAGUCUACAGUAUUUUGUUAUAGCAGAUUGAUUGGACUCAAACAUGCCCACAGUUUCAAUAACAUGUAGCUUUCAGACACAAAGGUGCGCACUCAUCUCUUCAAUCAUACAUCCUUCCAGUCAUGCCCCCGCACACACUCACAUACAAGCACCUGCAGCCACCUCUUCUGCACAUAUACACGUGCACACACCUGGCACAAAGACACCUCACAUGCACACACAGUAGCACACUUAGAAAUCAGGCUCAUUUGCUCCCUCCCAAGUGAAAAGGUCUCAGGGUCUUCUGCUCUCUGGGUGUGAACAUGCAACUCCAUCUGGCUUGAGUGUGCUGGUGCCACACUCCGAAGGCAGGCAGGUGGGUUCGCAUGGAGCCUUGCUUGGUGAAAAGUCUCUAAAGCCCCCAACCCCGGCGCCAGGCUUGGUCUCCUUACCUCUCCAGGCGGGCUUGAUCUGCAGUGCCUCCGUAAUAGGCUGUUCAGGGAGAAUCGAUCAGCCUCUGUGUACACUGACCACAGAAAACAUAAUUAACAGUGUUUGGGAUCCAUUAAUUGCACUGGCUAGGAAUUCCAAACAAUCUAAUUUGAAAAGUCACUUAGGAGUGUAUCUUUGCCUUGAUGGAGCACGGGGUGCCUGAAAUAGCUGUAGGGGACCAGCACACCCAGGCCAGGCCCCAGUGGCCUGUCCCUUCGUUAGGGGGAAUUUAGGUCACUGAGGCUGUGGGAGGAGAAACUUCCCUCCUCCAUAAAGCCCUCCUGGAUUGCCACACGGCCCUCUGACAGCCUCUGGAAUAUCCUCACACCCCGGUUCAGCUCAUGGCCUACAGCCUCGCUGGUUUGAGGUUGUUUUAUGUGGAUUUGUGCAGCCUCUUUUGUGGUCAGAGACCUUGUCUAUAAUACCCCUUCCCAGAGCCCUGACAGCUAUUGUUAUCAUUAUUGUUGUUGUUAUUUCCUCAUGGCCUCAAUCUAGUGCAGGCCUUGAGGGGGUGGGUUUUGUGCGUUUUCCUUCUUUGUGAAAUAGGGCUUCAUUUGUCCUAAGUGCUCAAAAAGCUCAGGUCUGAGGGAAUAAAAGUAAAACCAGUUUGGCUGUCCUGAGGCACUAAGAAAGAUUAUCACGGAAAAUGUUUUGAGCUUCUUAAUCUCUGAAAUAUGAAAAUCUAAUUUAAAAAAGAAAGAAAGAGAAAAAAGCCUCCGAAAAUUGUUUUGGGGUUGCCUUGUGGAUGUGUUUGAACCUUAAAACUCCUUCAUAUUCCGGCUUCUGUCUCAUCCCAGAGCCCGAAUUUCUGAGAAACCACUGAAGACCUGACCCCAGCGCUUAAUUAUUUCUCCUUUCCAAGCAUCUCUCAUGGAAGGCAUCUUGGAUGAAAAGACCUUUGGCAGCGUGGGUUUUGCAGGGACCGUCUGGUACCAGGAACUGGCCAAAUGUGAAGGUGUAAAACACAAAGUUCACACCCUGAAGAACCUUCUAGUCCAGUCGGGGAGAUGGACCCAGAAUGUCAGAUUAAGAUUGGCCUGCAUCAGCCCAAAUGGUUCCAUGUUCUUCUUUUUAAUGGCUGCAUAGUACUCCUUUGCAUGGAUGCACCACAGUUCAUUUAACCAGAGUCCUGUUGGCAGGCAUUUCAGAUGUUUGCAAUUUUUCUGUGAGACCAACACCACUGUGAUCAGCAUCCUGAAAGUCACAAAUCACUACAUAAGGACCUGCUGUAACCAGUCUGACCUCAUCUUGAUUACAGCUGCAAAGACCCUAUUUCCAAAUAGAGCCACAUUCUGAGGAUCCAGGGUGACAAAUUUUGGGAGGAUAAUAUUCCAUCUGGCACAGAAGGGAAAAGGGAAGUUUUUGUCUGAAGAAGGGGCUUGUCUGGAGUUGCUGGAGAGCCAGUGGGAUUGCAUCUUUUGCAGAGGACAGGUCCUUAAGGGCAAAAUCGCUUAAGAGUCAAAAUGGCCUUGAAAAUUCCUUGGGAAGCCGUCAUGUUGGAGCCAACCACUAUUUCUCAAUAAUUUCAGCACAGCCAGUUUUUCCUCCUGCGUUGGGACGGAUCGCUGUUUCUCCUGUCAAGCUCCAGAUACAGUAAAGUCUUGUGUUUAGGGGCCACACAGUGGAGUGGGACACUCACAGGCAGAGGGAGGAACCAGGUGCUCCUACUCAGAGACACGUGGGACCCAACGGGAGGGUUUGGCUUGGAAGAGACACCUUCAAAGUGAGUGGUGUGGGGAUUUCCCCAUCAUAUAAUGUCCCCUUUGGGGUGUGAGGGGCAAAUGUGUUUAGUUAAGUGGAUCUUAACUCAGUUAAAUUAAAUUCAUGUAUGAUGUGAGACCAGCGUGGAAAGGUCUUACCUCUUGAUUAACCAAUUGUUCUUCCCCAGUCACUCCAUUGCUCCUCUUUGAGCCAUCCAAAAAGUCACCUCAUCUUUCCAGACCUCAGGGUCCUCAUCUGUAAAUUGGGGGGCAUGUGGACUUGGACAGAAUGGGCCCUCUCUGUCACUUGGAGAGUCUGGGAUUGUAAGCUGCCCUCCGGGAGAUCAAAACACCACACGAUGCAGGUGGCACUGGACAGACGCGGGACACAGGGGCUCUGCUAAGGUCCCUGGUGCUACAGAAGAGGACGGUGAUCACCAGGCCCAGGAAGGAGGGUUGCUGGGAAUGAAGAUCGCAGCCACGCUGCACGAUGCAAGGCUAAGGUGCACGCAGUGCGCUGUGGCUUCAGGUCCCGAAAGCACAGGCCUGGGACAGCUUUUCCAGAUGGCAAGUCUGCUUUCUCCCAGCCCCAACAUGCCUUUCUGAAAUGUAAAGCAGCCCAGUCCUGGCCUCAGAAUGCUGGGGUGAACAACUGGAGAACGGGGUUCCAGCCACUGCAGAUGAAUCCAGAGGCACUAGAAACACAGAGAGAGCAAGAAGGAAAGGGAGGGGACACGAGG
rnacentral:lncRNA from 10 species